rnacentral:tRNA from 1 species
GGGCGUAUGGCGUUCACGACGGCCUCAUAAUCCGUCGGUCGCGGGUUCAAGCCCCGCACGCCCU